AUAGGAGCGAUGCGGACACGGAGGAGAGUAACAGAGAGAGAGAGAGAGAGGCGAUGAAAUCAAAAACCUUCAAAAACUAUUUUGCAGACCCAAAAAACCGUUAACCGCAAAACAAAACCCAAUUCUCUUCUAAAAACUGAAAUUAAAACCCGUUACUCCUCUGCCUUCUUAGAAACCCAAAAAUCAAAACCAUCUCCUUCCCCCAAAAUCAAAAUCCAAAACUUAGAUGAGAAAGAAGUAAGCGAUCAGAGAUGCCAUUCUCACGCAACACCGUUUAAAAGUGAUAAAAUAUAAGGUUUCACUACGUUAAAACACUGUUUCGAACCGUCUUGGUAUAAAAGGGUACUAACCGCUUAAAAAAUAAAAAAACAACAACAGAGAUUGCUACACGGAGAAAGGAGAGAGUGAUCGAGAGAAAAGAGUGAGGGAUAGAGAGACAGAGAUAGAGAGAAGGGCGAUGAAACAGAGAGAGGCCGAGAAAGAGAGAGGCGAUGAAAUAGAGAGAGGAUGAGGCCUGGGACACGGAGAAAGAAACAGAGAAAGAGGCAGAAUGGUUAACACUGCAUCGAUUGGGCACCAUACAUUGCUUUUUUUCCAUUUUUUAGAUUUGGGGUUACGUUUUUGGUCCAGCACCACCCAUCUUCGGCUCCAUUCAAUCACAGCCUCAACGGUGACUUUGAUUCCCUGUUCGUUCUCUGGCCGAGUUCGUCUCUGCAACAGCAUAUUUUUGAAGGUUUACCUAUAAGAAAAAAAAAAAAAAAAAAAAACCGACAUUCAUAAAUGCCUCUCACUAUUAUUGAGAUCGCUAAUAAGGGGCAGCGAGAGUCAGACUAUCAGAGAGGGAGAGAAAAAUCCAUUGUUAGACCAAUCUUUCUCCAAAAUAUUACAGGUAUUGAGUUUCUGGUCUGCAAUGUUUAUAGGAACACAGAUUUGGGAAAAUCAAAGCUUCAGCCUUACCGGUUGCGGUACAAAAUACUAAACCGAAUGAGGAACAACCACCGAGGAAUGAAUAUCAAAACCUUCAUUUGUAUCUAAGAGAAAGAUCUGUGAGGAAGAAGCUUAACUAAAGGAUUGAGCUCUUUCAGGUCACAUGCAAUCACAGCGUAGACCCAUGUAUCUAUGUGGAUUGGAUCAAAAUGCCUGUGGAGGUGAAACUUUUGUAGUGGAUUCGAAUUGCAAAGAGCCCAAGUUUAGGUAUAUAUUUUAUUUUGAAUCCAUAAUGUUUAAUAAAAUGCUUGAAAGAAAAUUCAUUAAUUAUAUAUCUAUCUUGAUGAAUUUAUAAUUUAUUUUCGUUUGUACAGUAUUUUGUUUGGGACUAGAAACAAUUAAAUUUGUGAAAAGUUGAUUGAAAGAACUUACAAUUACAGAUACACAACUUGCGUUCAUUGGGUUUUCUUUAUUGUUGCUCAUGCUGAUGUUGGUUGUAUGAUGUAUCAGCCUCUAAUUGACACAGGUGGAAACAAAUUAACUUACCUUUGGAUAAAAAAGCGGUUAUUUCUUUAAAGGUAUACUUUGUUUUUAACUGUUGACGGUUAAGGAUAAUUUAAAAGUGAAUUUUUAAAAUGAUUACCAUAAUCUACACAUAUUAUAUAUGUCUUGCUUAUUGCAGACUUUUACCAUGUAGAUGGAAGCAAAUUAUCUUAAGUCUAUGAAAUGAGAUGUGCUUAGGGUUAAUAAUUAUAUUCAAGUUUCUUUAGAAGCCUCUAAAGUGACACUCCAUAUUAUCCAGUAAUAUUUAUUUUAAGCAGAAAAUAACUUCCUAGAUGGGAAUAUUUAAGAGUCAUGUCCUUCAACCUAAGAAUACAUGUGACAAAUGUAAAGUGUGUGCAUUAAUGCUAAGUAUGACAAAAACUAAAGAGCGAUAUGGAUAUGAUGAUUUUAUUUUACUUUGAAGAAAAAGACUAUAUAUUGCAAUGAUUGUUAUAUUUAGUUUCACUAAUGAUUGUUAUUAAUGAUUUCUUUUUCAGGCAUAAUGGCUAUAAAACUGUGUUAUUAAAACUUUUGGUUUUGUAUUGCUUUACAAGUGUAAUCUGUGUAGGACAGUCAAGCUCCUUUGUUUGACUUGCUCUUCCUUUACGUUUAAAAAGGUACUACUGAUGCUGUAAUACUAUAUGCCUCUUUUAUGCAGCUUAGGUUGUAUGCAAGGUUUGUUGCAAGAGGAUAUAUUAGUUCCUAAAGCUUGCAAAAGUGCUUUUGGCUUUCAGUAAAUUUCUGUUGUAUCUAUAGCAAUUCAAUAUCUUAAAUUUUGCCUUUAAAAACCAGGCUUUUCCAAGUGGCGCAUAGAAUUGAAAGACUUUCUACAUUCUUUUAGCCAGUAAGACUUUCCUAUUAAGUGCCACAUUAGCUUACUCUCUUCAACCUAUAUUUUAGCAUGCCUGAACUGCUACACAAUCUCUUCUAACCUCUUGACAUUUGCUAUUUCUGUCUCCACUCUUUCCCAUACAUUUGAUCAUUUUGCUAUGAACUCAUUUGGCCUUAACUAUAGGGUUUGUCUUGGGUGAUAAUAUUUAGGUUCUAUUAAACCAUUUCUUUUGUUUAUUUUUCCAUAAUAAUUCUGUCAGUAAGAACAAAUGACUAUAUUUUCCAGGUGUUUAUUUUUCCAAUAAGUAUUUUAUUUUGUAAUUCUCAUUUGAUCCAUCUUCUUUUGUUUCUAUACAAAUAAAUCUCCUGUGGUGGAGCUUAAUGCUCUAAAACAUUGAAAGAGAAUCACAAGUAGCAUAUGCAGUCAAUUCUUCCAAUGUUCAACACAUUUUUUCUUUUGUUUUACUUUGUGGCAAAUAGUGAUGUCUUUAUUUAACUUCAAUUGAACUGGUGCUGCUUUUUUGGUUUUAUUGGAGUCAUUUGCAAUUUGUGGAGCCAAGGAUAAAUGUUAUGUUAAUCAAAAACUGUAUUGAUGGAGCAUGUAAUUACAAUUUUUUUGGUUCAAUGACAAUUAGCGCUGCCCCUAUAUAACUUCAAGUGAGUUGAUGCUUCCUUUUUUCUUUAUUGAAGUCAUCUACAAUUUCUGAAGCCAAGGAUAGAUGUAAUGUUUAUGGAAAAUUGUAUUGAUGCAACAUGUAACUAAUUAGUGAAUGCCAUUAGUAAUUUGCAUUUAGCUUUUGUCUCUUUCUUUUUCUUCUCCUUUUUUCCCCCAAAUUUGCUUUAAUUAUUACAAUUAUUUAAUGCAUUUAUAAAUCUAUGACUUCCCUCUUUAAUAUUUCCAAUAAACCCUCCUUCCUCAUUUACUACUUCUACUUUCUAUUUAUUCUAUUGAAGUGUCAUAUUAUUCAUCCAACUCACAAGACUCCUCAUAGGUCCCAUUAAAACACAAAAUGGUUAACAUUUCUCCGUUAUUUACUCACCCAUUAAAUCAAAUUCAUCGUUUUGGCCUUCCUUUAACUCUCUUUGUUUGGACUCUUCCUCCUUUCAUCAAAUACUUCAAUGCCCGCCUCUUCAGAACUAAAACCCAUUAAUUUGGUUUUUUAUAUUUAUAUAUAGAUUUUCAAUUCUCCUUCUCCGCAGAAGUUGCCAAAGUACAAGCAGGGUUGGAAAGUCUCUUUGAGGCUUGGUGCAUCACAAAGAGGUCCUCUCUUCUCAACAAUGUUCAACUCUCUAUGCAUGGUCAAUGUAACAAUUUGCCUUUUAUGUAAUAAUAAAAAUAAAAGGUGUUUGGCUUCAGCUUUGCUAAGUUUUUUGAGAAAGAGCUUUGCUAAGUUGAUAGGUUAAUUUUCGAAAAUCAUUGGUUUAUAUGUUGUGCUUUGGGUGAAAGCCAUAGACCUUGAAAAGAUAAACGGUUCCAAAGCUACUGCAUGAACCUUCGGAGAACAGUAGUAAAGUUGAUUUGGAAGAACAAUGACUUUCUUAGUAUCAAUCAAUGCCCAUGUAACUAAAGUUCAAUUGGCAAUGAGUAAAAAGUAUUAAUUUUUA